rnacentral:misc_RNA from 1 species
GCUCCGUUGGUGAACCAGCGGAGGGAUCAUUACCGAGUUUACAACUCCCAAACCCCUGUGAACAUACCAUUUGUUGCCUCGGCGGUGCCUGCUUCGGCAGCCCGCCAGAGGACCCAAACCCUUGAUUUUAUACAGUAUCUUCUGAGUAAAUGAUUAAACAAAUCAAAACUUUCAACAACGGAUCUCUUGGUUCUG